rnacentral:rRNA from 1 species
GUAAUCUGCCCCCCAGGUGGUGGAUACCGUUCCGAAAAGGAGCGCUAAUCCCAGCAUGAGACCACGUUUUUCGAAAGAGGAUGAGGUCAAAAGCCGGCCUCUUCAAGAAAGCUGGCGCCAGGGGAUGAGCCUGCGGCCCCAUCAGCUAGUUGGUAGGGUAAUGGCCUACCAAGGCGAAGACGGGUAGCUGGUCUGAGAGGAUGAUCAGCCACACUGGAACUGAGACACGGUCCAGACUCCUACGGGAGGCAGCAGUGGGGAAUCUUGCGCAAUGGGCGAAAGCCUGACGCAGCGACGCCGCGUGAGUGAUGAAGGCCUUCGGGUUGUAAAGCUCUGUGGAGAGGGACGAAUAAGGGUUGGCUAACAUCCAGCUCGAUGACGGUACCUCUUUAGCAAGCACCGGCUAACUCUGUGCCAGCAGCCGCGGUAAGACAGAGGGUGCAAACGUUGUUCGGAAUUACUGGGCGUAAAGCGCAUGUAGGCGGUUCGUAAAGUCAGAUGUGAAAGCCCUGGGCUUAACCCAGGAAGUGCAUUUGAAACUCACGAACUUGAGUCCCGGAGAGGAAGGCGGAAUUCUCGGUGUAGAGGUGAAAUUCGUAGAUAUCGAGAGGAACAUCGGUGGCGAAGGCGGCCUU